AUGCAUGUGUGAGUUCAGCAUUAAUGAAAAGUGAAACCGCGGACGGCUCAUUAAAUCAGUCUUGGUUCAUUGGAUGGUUAAAAUCUACAGGGAUAACUGCAGUAACUCUGGAGCUAAUACUUGCAAUCGCCGUGGCCUCAUUGUAUCAGUGUUGAUCAUGGAAGCUUUUAUUACUUGUAAGAACAAUUAAUACGGACCUGUGCGCUGGAUUAUUGGUGAAACAGAAUAACUGCAGGACUUCAGAUGCUAUAUGCAGGGAGUGCAUCCUCCAAGUGUCUGCCCUAUCAACUUUGGACGGUAGUGUAUCGGACUACCGUGGUUGUCACGGGUAACGGGGAAUCAGGGUUCGAUUCCGGAGAGGGAGCCUUAAAGACGGCUACCACAUCUAAGGAAGGCAGCAGGCGCGCAAAUUACCCAAUUCCAGAAGGGAGAGGUAGUGACGAAAAAUAACAAUAUGAUGCUUUGGUAUUGUGAUUGGAAUGGAAGGGAAGUAAAACUACCCUUGAGGAACAAGUGGAGGGCAAGUCUGGUGCCAGCAGCCGCGGUAAUACCAGCAUCCACAAGCAUAUACAAAAGUUGCUGCGUUUAAAAAGCUCGUAGUUGGGUCUGUGUAGACACGACUUUACAGGUCUGUUGCUAACGCACGGGCGAGUCAGGUCUCCCUUGGUAUCGAUGGCUAUUGCGCUUAAUUGUGUUGAUUGUCAUGAAUGCCUAAUUUACUUUGAAUAAAAUAGAGUGUUCAAAGCAGCCUUUGGGUUUGGAUAUGAAAGCAUGGAAUAAUAGAGUAGGACUGUGUCCUAGUUAUGUUGGUCACGAGCGACACGGUAAUGAUUAAAAGGAACAAAAGGGGGCAUUCGUAUUGCUACGCUAGAGGUGAAAUUCUUGGAUCGUACCAGGACGGACUACUGCGAAAGCACUUGCCAAGAGUGUUUUUAUUAAUCAAGAACGAAAGUUAGAGUAUUGAANAGGAUUANAUACCCUCGUAAUUCUAACCAUAAACGAUACUUACUUGCGAUCCGCUAGAGUCCUCAUAGACCUGGCGGGAAGCUACUCGGGAAACCAAAGUGCAUUAGUUCCGGGGGAAGUAUGGUUGCAAAAUCGAAACUUAAAGGAAUUGACGGAAGGGCACCACCAGGAGUGGAGCCUGCGGCUUAAUUUGACUCAACACGGGAAAACUCACCAGGUCCAGACAUGGUUAGGAUUGACAGACCGAAUCUCUUUCGUGAUUCUAUGGGUGGUGGUGCAUGGCCGUUCUUAGUUAGUGGAGUGAUCUGUCUGGUUAAUUCCGAUAACGAACGAGAUCCCAACCAUUUAAAUAGGCUUUAGUACCUUGGUACUGUUGGCCUUCUUAGAGGAACCAUGGCGAAAAAUUACGCCAAGGAAGUGGGGCUAUAACAGGUCUGUGAUGCCCUUAGAUGUUCUGGGCCGCACGCGCGCUACACUGGAUGCUUGAGAAUGAUUUCAUGCCUUGUCCGAAAUGGUCUAGGUAAUCACCGAAACGCAUACCAUAAUUGGAAUUGAUUAUUGUAAAUAUUAAUCAUGAACGAGGAAUUCCUAGUAAGCGCCAGUCAUCAGCUGGCGUUGAUUACGUCCCUGCCCUUUGUACACACCGCCCGUCGCUACUACUGAUUGGAUGUUUAAGCAAGCUCUUCGGGCAAUAGAAUCUCGAUCUUCGGUGACGGAUCCGAUUUGGAUGUAGGGCAAGCUUAUGUGUCUA
rnacentral:rRNA from 1 species